GAGUAAAUGAUGAAAGAAAUUUAAUUUUGGGGUGAACUAUCCCUUUAACCAGUGGUUUACCAUACAGUUUAGAUACACCAGAAAGCUCUAGUUUAUCAUGAGUUCUGCCAGAAGGUGGCGCUCUUAUUUCAGUUAUUUCAAAACAAAUCACAGAUAUAAACUGAGUCAGUUAGGAGGAAACUGCAAGUCUCGACUCUAAUUCUCUUGAGGAUGUUGCUUCUGGUCCUCAUGAUAUUUUCUAUUUUUAAUGAGAAUGCUGAUGCAGAUGUGAUAACCUCAUUAUCCACAGAGCAGCAUGUUUUAGCAAAAGAUAAUGUAACACUGUCCUGCAGCUACAGUGGCACUGUCCGCAGUUUGCAGUGGUACCGUCAGUAUCCCGGAUCCAAACCGGAGUUUCUGGUUUCGCACAUUGAGACCAUGUCAGAGUCCAAGCUUCGUCUGUAUGCUGUGGCCGAUAAAGGAAUCAAGCGGAUGAAUCUGAAGAUAUCUUUUACACAUGUGGAUGAUUCUGCUUUGUACUACUGUGCCCUGGAGCCCACAGUGACAGGAAACACUGUCUGUGCUGUACAAGAACCUGAUGUGUCAGCGACAAACAUUAAUAUGCUGUUCUUAUCAAGAGGUCGUCUCAUAAUGAUGAUUGAUAUGUCAGAUCAUUAGGACAUUGCAUAAUUACUCAUUUUAAAUGGUUUUAAAAUCCAAAACAUGUUUUGCCCAAACAUAUUUUUGAAAAAAAAAAUCAAGAAUUUAAGAAACUCUUAGAAUUGUAAAACAUUCAGUUUAAAAGGAAAUAUACACUGUAUAUUUUUACAUAUAGUUCUUAAUGGUUAAUUAAAGAAAAAUAUUUAAUUUCUGUGAAAUCAUGAUUUUGUAACACUGAACACUGAACUAACUUCAGCAGAACAAUGACACUAUUUGCUUUUUAGAGCUGCAGUUGAAUUGAACUCAUUGAGUUUGCAUCAUUGAAUCAUUAUUUUCCCGUUGAUCACUGUAAUCUGUAUUGUAUAAAAUGCUAUAAAAAUAAAGGUGACUUGACUUGAUGGUGAGAUGAAAAGCAGUUUGUGUGGGAGGAGCUCAAAGUUUUGCAAACUUCAGCAGAAGAAAUAAAAAAGACAGAUAGAGAGAGAGAGAGAGAGAGAGAGAGAGAGAGAAUGAUUACCUGUGUCUGUUAGAGUCAAGUCAAUGUAACCUGCACUGAAGUUGCUAAAAAUCCCCACCACUAACACACAGACUGUUUCUCAAUACCAGGUACCCCAAUAUUAUUUAUAUAAAAUAUAAUUUAUUGUACAAUAAUAUUUAAUGAACAAUAACAGCCAAGUUUGUACAAUAGCAAACAAUUCAAGAUUUGUAAUAUCAUUUACACUAUCUACAUUGCAUUUACAGUGUGGUCACCAA